GCCAUCGAAAAGGGGUGCCUUGUUCAUAAGAACAUAAAGAAAGGCUGAGAUUAUACCCGUCCCGAUGUAAAAUUGGGAGCACCUGAUCUGGAUAAUGCCAGCGUAGGGAAAGGGCGGUUAAAUUUA
rnacentral:ncRNA from 1 species